AACGAACGCUGGCGGCAUGCCUAACACAUGCAAGUCGAACGAGAUCUUCGGGUCUAGUGGCGCACGGGUGCGUAACGCGUGGGAAUCUGCCCUUUGGUUCGGAAUAACAGUUGGAAACGACUGCUAAUACCGGAUGAUGACGAAAGUCCAAAGAUUUAUCGCCAGAGGAUGAGCCCGCGUAGGAUUAGCUAGUUGGUGUGGUAAAGGCGAACCAAGGCGACGAUCCUUAGCUGGUCUGAGAGGAUGAUCAGCCACACUGGGACUGAGACACGGCCCAGACUCCUACGGGAGGCAGCAGUGGGGAAUAUUGGACAAUGGGCGAAAGCCUGAUCCAGCAAUGCCGCGUGAGUGAUGAAGGCCUUAGGGUUGUAAAGCUCUUUUACCCGGGAUGAUAGUGACAGUACCGGGAGAAUAAGCUCCGGCUAACUCCGUGCCAGCCGCCGCGGUAA
rnacentral:rRNA from 1 species